UCCUGGGAUAGCUCAGCUGGUAGAGCAUGAGAUUCUUAAUCUCAGGGUUGUGGGUUCAAGCACCACAUUGGGCA